UACAGAGACUGCAAGCGUUAUUCGGAUUUACUGGGCGUACAGGGCGCGUAGGCGGUCGGAUAAGCCCUCCGUGAAAUCUCCAGGCUUAACCUGGAAAGUGCAGAGGGGACUGUUCAGCUAGAGGAUGGGAGAGGAGCGCGGAAUUCCCGGUGUAGCGGUGGAAUGCGCAGAUAUCAGGAAGAACACCCGUGGCGAAAGCGGCUCUCUGGAACGGUACUGACGCUGAGACGCGAAAGCGUGGGGAGCGAACAGG
rnacentral:rRNA from 1 species